rnacentral:rRNA from 1 species
CGGGGUGCAGCAGGCGCGAAAACUUUACAAUGCUGGCAACAGCGAUAAGGGGACCUCGAGUGCCAGGAUACAAUCUUGGCUGUCGCGAUGCCUAAAAAGCAUUGCAUAGCAAGGGCCGGGCAAGACCGGUGCCAGCCGCCGCGGUAACACCGGCGGCUCGAGUGGUAACCGCUAUUAUUGGGUCUAAAGGGUCUGUAGCCGGCCGGAUAAGUCUUUUGGGAAAUCCAGCUGCUCAACAGUUGGGCUUUCAGAAGAUACUGUUCGGCUCGAGACCGGGAGAGGUGAGAGGUACUUCAGGGGUAGGGGUGAAAUCUUGUAAUCCUUGAAGGACCACCAGUGGCGAAGGCGUCUCACCAGAACGGAUCUGACGGCAAGGGACGAAAGCUAGGGGCACGAACCGGAUUAGAUACCCGGGUAGUCCUAGCCGUAAACGAUACUCGCUAGGUGUCAGCCACGGUGCGACCGUGGUUGGUGCCGUAGGGAAGCCGUGAAGCGAGCCACCUGGGAAGUACGGCCGCAAGGCUGAAACUUAAAGGAAUUGGCGGGGAGCACAAGGGCGAAUCGCGG